rnacentral:rRNA from 1 species
UACAGAGGUCCCGAGCGUUGUUCGGAUUCAUUGGGCGUAAAGGGUGCGUAGCGGCGGGGCAAGUCUGAUGUGAAAUCCCGGGGCUCAACCCCGGAACUGCAUUGGAUACUGCCUUGCUAGAGUACUGGAGAGGGAACUGGAAUUUACGGUGUAGCAGUGAAAUGCGUAGAGAUCGUAAGGAAGGCCAGUGGCGAAGGCGAGUUCCUGGACAGUUACUGACGCUGAGGCACGAAGGCCAGGGGAGCAAACGGGG